rnacentral:rRNA from 1 species
UACGAGGGGGCGAGCGUUGUUCGGAAUUAUUGGGCGUAAAGGGUGCGUAGGCGGUUCCGCAAGUCCUGUGUGAAAUCUUCGGGCUCAACUCGAAGUCUGCACAGGAAACUAUCUGGCUUGAGUGUGGGAGAGGUGAGUGGAAUUCCUGGUGUAGCGGUGAAAUGCGUAGAUAUCAGGAGGAACACCUGUGGCGAAAGCGGCUCACUGGACCACAACUGACGCUGAGGCGCGAAAGCUAGGGGAGCAAACAGG